GCACAAAACUCUUCUAAUGUUAUCUCUGAGUUACUUAUAAAUAAGUUAAAACUUUCAACAACGGAUCUCUUGGUUCUGGCAUCGAUGAAGAACGCAGCGAAAUGCGAUAAGUAAUGUGAAUUGCAGAAUUCAGUGAAUCAUCGAAUCUUUGAACGCACAUUGCGCCCGUCAGUAUUCUGAUGGGCAUGCCUGUUCGAGCGUCAUUUCAACCAUCAAGCCCUAGGCUUGUGUUGGGGCACUGCGGCUGCCGCAGGCCCCUAAAAGCAGUGGCGGACUCGCUGUCAUACCGAGCGCAGUAGCACAUCUCGCUCAGGGCGUGGCAGCGGGCACCGGCCGUAAAACAACUAAAACUUAAGGUUGACCUCGGAUCAGGUAGGAAUACCCGCUGAACUUAAGCAUAUCAAUAAGCGGAGGA
rnacentral:rRNA from 1 species